UACGUAGGGUGCGAGCGUUGUCCGGAAUUAUUGGGCGUAAAGAGCUUGUAGGCGGUUUGUCGCGUCUGCCGUGAAACUUCGAGGCUCAACCUCGAACUUGCGGUGGGUACGGGCAGACUAGAGUGUGGUAGGGGAGACUGGAAUUCCUGGUGUAGCGGUGAAAUGCGCAGAUAUCAGGAGGAACACCGAUGGCGAAGGCAGGUCUCUGGGCCACUACUGACGCUGAGAAGCGAAAGCAUGGGGAGCGAACAGG
rnacentral:rRNA from 1 species